UGCAAGCAAGGCACUUAUACUUUAGUAUUAUAUACAUAUACAAAGAGAACAACAGCAAGAAAAAUCCUACUUAACUGAGGCUUCAUUGUAUUUGGGCUCCUCUCUUUUCAAUCACAGGCAUCAAAUCUUUCUGGUAAGCAUGAAGAGUUAUUAUCAAACAGUUGUGUUAGUGUUUUCCAAGGUGUAAUUAAAAAUAGAGAUUUCUUACCUCAUCCCAGUCCUACUGAACCAAAAUCUCUUAGGGAAGGAUGGGCCCCCCAGCAUUUGCAGUUUAAGCAGCAUUACAAGAGAUUAUUAUUUACAUUAAAAUUUAAGAAUCAUUGGCUUAAACACAAACAAAAACAUGUAAUUAUAUUCUUCCAGAAUUGGCAAAUGCACAGCCUUAACCAGUCAACAAACAUCUUCACCUGUGGGCUGUUUACUACAGCUGGGUGAAGCAGGCAAUGACCCAAACCUGCAUGAGUCUCCCAAUAAGAAAUGAUUUUUCCUUUGAAGAAAAUCAAUUACUGGCAAUCAGCUAGUGAGAAUCCAGUUCUGCUCUCCUCUUGAUUUCAUCCCUCAUCUCUUCUAGAUAACUGAGGGAAAAUGAAUGCACCAAGAACUAACAUGGGAUUUUGGAAAGAUAGUAAUGCCCUCAACAGAUGAUUUCAAAACAUUUGCUGUUUGGGGAGCAAAUAAAGCAUGAAAUAAACAGAUGGAUGAGGUUGGAAGAAAGGAGAGAGGUGAAAACUCCAUGCCACUGUUUAAUUCUUUCACUUCAGAAAUUCUACUGAUUGAUUGGUGAUUUGGGGGGUGGUGAGGAGAAUCCAUAACUGAUAUUUGUCUAAAAAACUUGGUCCUGGUCCAGACAUAAUAGCUCAUGCUUGUAAUCUCCGCAAUUUGGGAGGCAGAAGCAGAAAGAUCCUUGAGACCAGGAGUUCAAGGUUGCAGUGAGCUAUGAUCAUGCCACUGCACUAUAGCCUGGGUGACAGAGUGAGACUUUGCCUCUAAAAGUAAAUAAAAAGAUGACUAGCUUUUUCUUUUUUUAA
rnacentral:sRNA from 1 species